UUUGAUCCAUUAUACUUAGUUGUCAAUUAUGUCUUGUUUUGCAGCCCUGAUGAUACUCCUUGGGAUGGAGGUAAGGAAUUUAAAGUCUUUCCUUUUAUUUGGGGUUUGCAUUUGGGACUUGGGAGAGUAAUCACAGGCAUGAUAUGGGGAAAUUUAACUAUUUUCCACUUUUAGUUUUGGCAAUUAACCAAAUACCCUUCUUAGAUUUGCACUUAAGAAUUUGCCACUGGAGAGAGAAGCUUUUGUAAUUUUUUGCCACUUUCUGCACUGUUCAGUGCCACAUAUACAUGCCAGCAUGGACCAGGCACACGAAAUGACUAAUCUACCCUUGUUAGUAAUGUCUGUAAUAUAAGCUGAGUCAGGAAUAAUAUUUGGACAAAUUGCUUUCGCGAAUCAGUUGCAUCGGUAUGGAUGCUGUUCACUUUUAUGAGGUACUAUAUUAAAGACCGAGUACCUCCACAUCAGUUAACAAAUCAAUAUUUGAAGGAAUAGAUCCACUGAGAUGGUUAUAACAAACUUUCAAAACGAUACUUAGAUUGAGUUCUUUUGUUCACUUUCACAACUUAUCUCUCUCGUUUUUCAUGUGUACGUUUUUCAAGCUGCUAAACGGUAUUCCAAUUUGGCUGGUAUUGUUGGGAUGGUGCCACCUGGAGUGAGCUCGAUUAAGGUGUACGAUAGCAUGGUUUGGAAAUAUUUCUCUCUUCACGUAAAACUGAGCAAAGAAUUAGCGCAUGACUAAUUUAGUUUGAGUUUUAAGAAAUAAAGAAUAGAUUAAUAUAUAUUUUUAAAGUAACUUAAUUUUAUUUAAAAAGUUAUUAAAGAAACGUGCGAAAAAAAAUGAGGGAGUAGAACUCAGACUGGCGGAGGCCCUGGUUCCGGUUUUUUUCAGUCCAACCGCCGGUCCGGUCGGUCCUAAUAACUGUGAGUAGAAGUUAGAAAAAAGACAUCCGAAUGCAGCCUCAGAAAGUUAAUGAACUGACUGUAACAUGAAUGGUGCCAUUGAUGUUGUUGCCUUAUAAAUUUAAAAGGGUAAAAUGGGAAGAUUGGGCAGGUUGCUGGUUUCUCUUGGUAUCUUUCCAGUGAAUGAAUUAUGACUAAGAUUCAAUGCGGACAGGCUUAGCAACUGAGAAACUUACCACUAGCUAGAAGGGGUAGGUUGGUCAUUUUUCACGUUGGUCCAUGUUGGCAUGCACAUGUGGCACUCCACAGGGCAAAAAGUGGCAAAAAGUUACAAAAGCUUCUCUCUCUAAUGGCAAAUUCUUAAGUACAAUCUUAAGAAGGGUAUUUGGUUAAUUGUCAAAUGUAAAAGUGGCAAAUAGUUAAAUUCCCCCAUGAUAUGACGCAUAUCUUGUACUUCAUUUUACUUCUGUUUUCAUAUUCAGAGAUAGUUUUGCUUGCAUAAUUCCAUUUUUGUUGUUGAUAUAACAAUUGGUUCAUUUAAUUAAUAGGCACUUAACUUUCUGGACAAAUGAUACAAUUUAUAAUUAUCAAACAAAUAGAAUGUAUGAACCUCAUUUUUUCUGUCAGUUCAACCCACAUUUCUACUGUCUUUGGGAUUUUAUGUCUCGGAAUGUAUAUUCUACACUUUAGACACUUUUCUUUUUGUCUACAAUGGUCCAGCCUUGGAGCAUGUAGUUCAAACAUUUUAGGUUAAUUUUAAUUAAAACUUGUAAUUUUCUUGUCUAAUCGAGUGAAGCAUGUGUUUUUUUUGGGGUGACAUGGUUUGGAGAUCUUAUUUUGAUUAAUGUUUUGAAUUCAAAUAUAUGAUAGUCUAAAUCGUCAAUAAACAUUUGUUAAAACCUUUUCAUCAUUAGCUGAUCAUGUUUUAUUGGUUCUAUGACUGAGAAAGUGCUUGUUUUUUUUAAAGAGCCUCUGUACAACAUAAAUAAGGUGAUUAACCCGUUUUAAACAGUCUGUUGGGGAAGUCCUCUUUGCCAAACGUCCAUUUGAUAUUUUUCCUUUUUGUAUUUAUUGGCAUUUUGUUCUUGUACGUGUCACCAAUUGUACUCUUUUACAUGUUAACACUGUCAAAUUAUGUUUACUUCGCCAUCGCCAGGU
rnacentral:lncRNA from 1 species